rnacentral:tRNA from 1 species
GCGGGUUUAGUUCAGCGGUAGAACGCUAUCCUUCCAAGUUAGACGUCGCAGGUUCGAAUCCUGUAACCCGCU